GCUCCUUUGGGCUCCAGUUGGUAGAGCGUCAGUCAUCAUAAUCGGAAGGUCGCCCAGUUCGAUCCUGGCAGCAGAGCA